rnacentral:rRNA from 1 species
GACGAACGCUGGCGGCGUGCUUAACACAUGCAAGUCGAGCGGUAAGGCCCUUUCGGGGGUACACGAGCGGCGAACGGGUGAGUAACACGUGGGUGACCUGCCCUUAGCUCUGGGAUAAGCCUGGGAAACUGGGUCUAAUACCGGAUACGGCCGGAAGGCGAAAGGUUUACCGCAGAGGGAUCGGCCCGCGUCCGAUUAGCUUGUUGGUGAGGUAAUGGCUCACCAAGGCAUCGAUCGGUAGCUGGUCNGAGAGGAUGGCCAGCCACAUUGGGACUGAGACACGGCCCAAACUCCUACGGGAGGCAGCAGUGGGGAAUAUUGGACAAUGGGCGCAAGCCUGAUCCAGCCAUGCCGCGUGAGUGAUGACGGCCUUAGGGUUGUAAAGCUCUUUUGGCGGGGACGAUGAUGACGGUACCCGCAGAAUAAGCCCCGGCUAACUUCGUGCCAGCAGCCGCGGUAAU